AGUCGAGCUCAGUUACGCCGCGCCCCUUGCGAAGUGCGCUGCGCCUCGUGGAUGAGGUUAUAGUUCUCGCUGAUCGAAAAAUAGUUUUUGCGCUCCACGUUUCCGGCACACUAACAGGACGAACGUUCAGGCGUCGUGUGUUUAUCUCCAUGUUAUCGCGUCCAGUCGUUUCGCUUACGGACGGAAACUUUCGCGAGUCACGUUUCACGUUGCGAUCAGCGAAUGGUCGCGAGUUGUUUCGCUGGCGAACGAGACAAGCGUGGUGAGACUUGACGUGGUGACGAGGGAAUGAUACUUUUAGUGAAACUGAAUUUACUUCUCAUUCUUGGCGUAACAUAUUCAGAGGUGUAGUGAAUUGAAAGUGUGAUAGUAAGACGCUGUCAUUAGUCGGUCAUACGUUCAGUGCUGUCGGACGAAAACCUCCUGAGAUCAAUGUAAUUCAAAGUUUAGUGUUUCAUGUACAAAUAUCUAAUGCUGCGUAAUAUCGGUAUUUUGUAAUUUUUAUUUCCGUAAGACGAUCAUAUCGAGAAAUUAAAAGAUUCAUGUCUAAGAAGUUAUGAAAGUACAGAUAGUUUAGAAGACUAGGUUAGGUUAAUUGGAUUCGCUAAAAGAAAGACUUUUCAUGUAUGAUAUAAUAAUAUAAUGGAUAUCGCGAUGGAUAAUAGACUUCGCUGAAGAUUCUGCCGUUGCUUUCUUCGUUUUUUCGUCUCGUGGUUACGGGGACAAAAAAGUUGAGCAUUAAGCGUACAUACAUAGUGCUAUCUAGGACAGGAAAAAGGUGCUUUGCGAUGGACCAAGUGGAACGAAACAUUAAGCUGGCUGCCCUCACGAACUGAGAUCAUCAGUCAACGGUAUAUAGGAAGAAUGGAUUCAAGAAUACUACGUAAAGGAAUUUGAGCUUCACUAUAACUUCUACGCUAAUAGCUGUUGACACAGACAUCGAAGAAGGGUUCCACUUUGUGCUCGUGGUAA